rnacentral:rRNA from 1 species
AGAGUUUGAUCCUGGCUCAGGAUGAACGCUAGCGGCAGGCUUAACACAUGCAAGUCGAGGGGCAUCGGAGGGAAGCUUGCUUUCCUUGCCGGCGACCGGCGCACGGGUGAGUAACACGUAUGCAACCUGCCCUCUUCAGGGGGACAACCUUCCGAAAGGGAGGCUAAUCCCGCGUAUAUCGGUUUCGGGCAUCCGAGAUCGAGGAAAGAUUCAUCGGAAGAGGAUGGGCAUGCGGCGCAUUAGCUUGACGGCGGGGUAACGGCCCACCGUGGCGACGAUGCGUAGGGGUUCUGAGAGGAAGGUCCCCCACACUGGUACUGAGACACGGACCAGACUCCUACGGGAGGCAGCAGUGAGGAAUAUUGGUCAAUGGGAGAGAUCCUGAACCAGCCAAGCCGCGUGAGGGAAGACGGCCCUAUGGGUUGUAAACCUCUCUUGUCGGAGAACAAAACCCGGGACGUGUCCCGGACUGCGUGUAUCCGAAGAAAAAGCAUCGGCUAACUCCGUG